GCGGGCGUGCUGGAAUUGGUAGACAGGCGUGGUUCAGGACCACGUGUUCGCAAGAGCGUGGAGGUUCGAGUCCUCUCGCCCGCA
rnacentral:tRNA from 1 species